UGGUAAUGCCGGAUGCUCCAGUUGAUCGCAUGGUCUUCUGGGAAAGCUUUCGCGGUAUGGGAUGGGGUCGCGUCCUAUCAGCUUGACGGCGGGGUAACGGCCCACCGUGGCUUCGACGGGUAGCCGGCCUGAGAGGGCGACCGGCCACAUUGGGACUGAGAUACGGCCCAGACUCCUACGGGAGGCAGCAGUGGGGAAUAUUGCACAAUGGGCGCAAGCCUGAUGCAGCGACGCCGCGUGAGGGAUGGAGGCCUUCGGGUUGUAAACCUCUUUUAUCGGGGAGCAAGCGAGAGUGAGUUUACCCGUUGAAUAAGCACCGGCUAACUACGUGCCAGCAGCCGCGGUAAUACGUAGGGUGCAAGCGUUAUCCGGAAUUAUUGGGCGUAAAGGGCUCGUAGGCGGUUCGUCGCGUCCGGUGUGAAAGUCCAUCGCUUAACGGUGGAUCCGCGCCGGGUACGGGCGGGCUUGAGUGCGGUAGGGGAGACUGGAAUUCCCGGUGUAACGGUGGAAUGUGUAGAUAUCGAAAAAAAACACCA
rnacentral:rRNA from 2 species